UACGUAGGGUGCAAGCGUUAAUCGGAAUUACUGGGCGUAAAGCGUGCGCAGGCGGUUGUGCAAGACAGAUGUGAAAUCCCCGGGCUUAACCUGGGAACUGCAUUUGUGACUGCACGGCUAGAGUGUGUCAGAGGGGGUAGAAUUCCACGUGUAGCAGUGAAAUGCGUAGAUAUGUGGACGGAAUACCGAUGGCGAAGGCAGCCCCUGGAUAACACUGACGCUCAUGCACGAAAGCGUGGGAGCAAACAGG
rnacentral:rRNA from 1 species